rnacentral:lncRNA from 1 species
CAGGUCAGAAGACAAUGAGAAAAACUCACAUUCUAGGCAUUUAUAGGAAAAGGGGCCCACUGUUUUACAAGAUUGAAAGCACAAAUUUUAAAAGAGGAAAAAGAAGGAAGAAGACAACCACCUUCAUGUCUUUAUUAAUGAGUCGUGGUGGAGGACCUGAUCACUUCUCUUGAUAUUUGCUGAUGAGAAUGGAGUGAGAACAAGAAGACUAGGGGAUUGCCAAGGAAUGUGUUCCUUUCUGUUUUAUACUUGUUGGAAAGAGGUCAAGAUGUAAUAGGAGAAAUUCUUCUUUUUUGGGAGGCCAGAGUAUCACUGUUCCCUUUGCAUUUUGUCAUGUGGCUCUUAGAAGACCAAAGAUACCGCUGAAUUCCAGAAAUAGGAGGGAAGAAUUGACCAG